rnacentral:rRNA from 1 species
GACGAACGCUGGCGGCGUGCUUAACACAUGCAAGUCGAACGGAAAGGCCCUGCUUUUGUGGGGUGCUCGAGUGGCGAACGGGUGAGUAACACGUGAGUAACCUGCCCUUGACUUUGGGUUACUUUCAGAAACCUGGGCCUAUACCCGGUUAGGAGCUCCGCCUCCUUGUGGGGGUUGGAAAAUUUUCGGCGGUUGGGGAUGGACUCGCGGCUUAUCAGCUUGUUGGUGGGUUAGUGGCUUACCAAGGCUUUGACGGGUAGCCGGCCUGAGAGGGUGACCGGCCACAUUGGGACUGAGAUACGGCCCAGACUCCUACGGGAGGCAGCAGUGGGGAAUAUUGCACAAUGGGCGGAAGCCUGAUGCAGCAACGCCGCGUGCGGGAUGACGGCCUUCGGGUUGUAAACCGCUUUCGCCUGUGACGAAGCGUGAGUGACGGUAAUGGGUAAAGAAGCACCGGCUAACUACGUG